rnacentral:misc_RNA from 1 species
CUGAUGAGCACCGAGGGGC